rnacentral:rRNA from 1 species
GACGAACGCUGGCGGCGUGCCUAAUACAUGCAAGUCGAGCGGAAGUUGGAGAGCUUGCUCUUCAACUUUAGCGGCGGACGGGUGAGUAACACGUGGGCAACCUGCCCUGCAGAUCGGGAUAACUCCGGGAAACCGGUGCUAAUACCGAAUAGUUUUCGCCACCUCCUGGUGGCGUACGGAAAGACGGUUUCGGCUGUCACUGCAGGAUGGGCCCGCGGCGCAUUAGCUAGUUGGUGGGGUAACGGCCCACCAAGGGGACGAUGCGUAGCCGACCUGCGGGAGUGUUCGGCCGCACUGGGACUGAGACACGGCCCAGACUCCUACGGGAGGCAGCAGUAGGGAAUCUUCCGCAAUGGACGAAAGUCUGACGGAGCAACGCCGCGUGAGUGACGAAGGUUUUCGGAUCGUAAAACUCUGUUGUGAGGGAAGAACAAGUACCAAUUAACUACUGGUACCUUGACGGUACCUCACCAGAAAGCCACGGCUAACUACGUGCCAGCCGCCGCAGUAAAAC